rnacentral:rRNA from 1 species
GAUGAACGCUGGCGGCGUGCCUAACACAUGCAAGUCGAGCGAGGAAGCCUUCGGGUGACCUAGCGGCGGACGGGUGAGUACCACGUGGGUAACCUGCCUCACACUGGGGGAUAGCCUUCCGAAAGGAAGAUUAAUACCGCAGAAGAAGUAGAAGUGGCAUCACUUCAGCUUUAAAGGGGCAAUCCGGUGUGAGAUGGGCCCGCGGCGCAUUAGCUAGUUGGUGAGGUAAAGGCUCACCAAGGCGACGAUGCGUAGCCGACCUGAGAGGGUGAUCGGCCACAUUGGAACUGAGACACGGUCCAGACUCCUACGGGAGGCAGCAGUGGGGAAUAUUGCACAAUGGGCGAAAGCCUGAUGCAGCAACGCCGCGUGAGUGAUGAAGGCCUUCGGGUUGUAAAACUCUGUCUUUGGGGACGAUAAUGACGGUACCCAAGGAGGAAGCCACGGCUAACUACGUGCCAGCCGCCGUA